GGUUUGUGUAGACCUCAAUACGACUCUGUGUCCUGAACAGAGGCCGCAGUGGUGCAGCGCUUGUGGACGAUCCAUCAACAUCCUGAAAGGUCAACACUACACCAAGCUGGGAAAAUUGAUCCUGAUAGUCAUCCCCAGGCCUGACCGUUUGUCCUUGAGCCGUAGAUGGUCAACAAUCCGCUAGCUGUCUUGCUCUGACUGGUGCACUGGACAUGAUUUCAAUAGUCAGCCAGACCAUGAUUGAGCUUAAGGAUUGUGCUGCGGAUGCAGCCUGUGCAGUUCCGGGAGAAAGUCACUGUCUUGGGCAAUGCGGUCUGGUAUCAGGUCUGGAUGAUCCUUGCCUGACUGCGGGUUUGUGUAGACCUCAAUACGACUCUGUGUCCUGAACAGAGGCCGCAGUGGUGCAGCGCUUGUGGACGAUCCAUCAACAUCCUGAAAGGUCAACACUACACCAAGCUGGGAAAAUUGAUCCUGAUAGUCAUCCCCAGGCCUGACCGUUUGUCCUUGAGCCGUAGAUGGUCAACAAUCCGCUAGCUGUCUUGCUCUGACUGGUGCACUGGACAUGAUUUCAAUAGUCAGCCAGACCAUGAUUGAGCUUAAGGAUUGUGCUGCGGAUGCAGCCUGUGCAGUUCCGGGAGAAAGUCACUGUCUUGGGCAAUGCGGUCUGGUAUCAGGUCUGGAUGAUCCUUGCCUGACUGCGGGUUUGUGUAGACCUCAAUACGACUCUGUGUCCUGAACAGAGGCCGCAGUGGUGCAGCGCUUGUGGACGAUCCAUCAACAUCCUGAAAGGUCAACACUACACCAAGCUGGGAAAAUUGAUCCUGAUAGUCAUCCCCAGGCCUGACCGUUUGUCCUUGAGCCGUAGAUGGUCAACAAUCCGCUAGCUGUCUUGCUCUGACUGGUGCACUGGACAUGAUUUCAAUAGUCAGCCAGACCAUGAUUGAGCUUAAGGAUUGUGCUGCGGAUGCAGCCUGUGCAGUUCCGGGAGAAAGUCACUGUCUUGGGCAAUGCGGUCUGGUAUCAGGUCUGGAUGAUCCUUGCCUGACUGCGGGUUUGUGUAGACCUCAAUACGACUCUGUGUCCUGAACAGAGGCCGCAGUGGUGCAGCGCUUGUGGACGAUCCAUCAACAUCCUGAAAGGUCAACACUACACCAAGCUGGGAAAAUUGAUCCUGAUAGUCAUCCCCAGGCCUGACCGUUUGUCCUUGAGCCGUAGAUGGUCAACAAUCCGCUAGCUGUCUUGCUCUGACUGGUGCACUGGACAUGAUUUCAAUAGUCAGCCAGACCAUGAUUGAGCUUAAGGAUUGUGCUGCGGAUGCAGCCUGUGCAGUUCCGGGAGAAAGUCACUGUCUUGGGCAAUGCGGUCUGGUAUCAGGUCUGGAUGAUCCUUGCCUGACUGCGGGUUUGUGUAGACCUCAAUACGACUCUGUGUCCUGAACAGAGGCCGCAGUGGUGCAGCGCUUGUGGACGAUCCAUCAACAUCCUGAAAGGUCAACACUACACCAAGCUGGGAAAAUUGAUCCUGAUAGUCAUCCCCAGGUAGUGGAAUGAAUGUACACUGAACUACAGAGGAAUCACACCCAAAUGACUUUCCUGCCACGACAUUAGUGUGGCCACUCGCGUAGGAAUUCCUUAGCAAACAUGCUCUUUUGCAUGGUGACUGUGGGCAUUUUUGCAAAACUUACGCUUUCAACACUGGAUUUUAAAGAGAAUACUUGAUAAAAUGUCGCUAACAGGACUUAUUUAUAUAAGAGAGACUAUCUGGAUGCGCAUUAAGUGUCACUUUGUGUCGUAAGCUGUUGAAGGAGCGAUUUGCGCCUUUUUAAGUGUUAAUUUUGGGUAGCCGGCUUGUAUCGGCUUGAAAGCUGCAAAUUAUGCCUCUCAUCAUAAUAGCACUAAUUUUUGUAAUUGCAAUGUGUAUGUUUAGAUUGUAAGUGAAGCUUUUAAUAAUAAUUUUCUUAAAAAACAUGA